UGGCAUAUUAUUUAUAGUUUUGUUUUGUGAACGAAUCAUGAAAUAAUCAUCGUCUUUAAUAACUAUAAAUAAUGUGGUACGGUAUAAUAACAUUGGGGAGGAGGCUUGCAUUUCCUGUUUGGAGGCACCUGAUCAACCUUCUCCGGUUCAAUUUCAAACCGGAUGAUUUGAUACGGCAAAAUUAAAAAUUGUGCUACCAAUAAUCCCCACACGAACAGAUGCCAUUCCUGAAAUGGUGAAAACGACUAUUAUCUCUGACAACAAUCUCACGCCCUGCAAUUUUUGAUAUAAGCUUGAUGACAAAAUGGCAAUCUCCACAUAUUCGGAGAUUCUUCAUCACUGUUAUUGUACUUCCCUCCACAGUACUAACCAAAGCAAAUCCAAUUGCCAGCCUUUCACUAUGAUAAGACAACAUCUCUUCCUUUUGCUCAUCAUCAACAUCAUGCAAAGCAAAUCUUUGAUCAGGAAAAUAACCAAAUUGCUUUAAUUUUUCUCCCAACCAGUCCAGCUUUUCAAUAAUUUUCUCACUGAGAGGGUGAGACCUAUCUCCAGAAAUAAAUUCAUGUCUCAUUCCUUUUAAAACUACCCAACUGGACCCUGGUUGUUUGACAACUCCAACCUGCUUCAUCUUCACUCUCAUUCUAGAAACAUCAGUCCAUCUACCAGCAGAGGCAUACAAAUUAGACAACAAAACAUAAGCAGCACUACAAUAUGGUUCUAGAUCAAAAGUACUUGUUGCAGCUCUUUCAGCAACCUCUAAAUUGGAAUGCAUUCUACAUGAACUAAGGAGGGAUAGCCAAAUCAUAGAAUUUGCUUUCAUAGGCAUAUUUUUAAUUAACUCUUCUGCUUCCUCCAGCUUACCAUUUCUGCCUAAGAUAUCCACCAUACAAGCAUAAUGCUGAAGCUUCAAUGCAAUAGGUUUAUAUUGACUAAUAUACUCAAACAAGCACCUUCCCUUCUGCAACAUCCCAGAAUGGCUACAAGCAGAAAGCAAUCCAGUGAAUGUGAUCUCAUCUGGGUCUACACAUGCACGUAUCAUUUUGUUAAACAAAAUCAAGGCCCAAAUGCCAUGUCCAUGCUGAGAGCAUCCAACAAUGAUCGAGUUCCAUGAGACAGUAUUCUUCUCAUUAAUUGUUUUAAAUACAGCUACAGCAUCAUUUACAUUUCCACAUUCACUAUACAUGACCAUGAGAGAAUUACCAACAAAGACAUCAGCUUCCAAACCAAGUUUAAUUACUACUGUGUGGAUCUCUUUACCCUUAUCAAGGCUCUCUAAUCCACGACAUGAAUUAAAAGCACUGGUGAAUGUAGAUUGAUUUGGAAGAAAGCCCAUCUUGAUCAUGUCGCUGAAAACCCUCAGUGCAUCUCCAUGCUUACAAUUCAAAUCAUAUCCUGUUAAAAGAGCCGUCCAUAUAACCACAUUUUUAGACAAUGUCUCAUUAAAUACCUGAUGAGCUUUCUUGACUUCUUUGCAAUUUGAAUAAAAUGUUAUCAAUGAAGCUGAUAUAAAUUCACCAAAACAAUAUCCCAACUUAAGAACGUGACCAUGAACUUGAACACCCAGAUUGAAGUCUAUUGCAUUUGCACAAGCCGUCAACACACAGGCAAAUGUGCUUGAAGUGGGCUCAACACCCGAACCCAUCAUUUUCCCAAAAAGAAACAAAGACUUUUCACUCAUCCCAUUCUGGUCAAGUCCACCAAUCAUUGAAGUCCAUGAAAUCACAUUCCUACAAGGCAUUUUUUCAAACAACUUCAGACCCUUCUCAACUCUCCCAUUCCUACAAUACCCAUAAAUCAUCGCAUUCCAUGCUGCAACAUCCCUUGCUGGCAUAUUCCAGAACAACGUUUCAGCAACAUCAACUAUCCCAAACUUCAAAUACCCAUUUACCAUUGUUGUCCAAGAAACAACAUUCCUUUCAGGCAUUUCAUCGAACAAUCUUCUAGCCAGAGUCAAAUCUGCACAUUCUAAACACCCUUUUAUCAUCGAAUUCCAGGAAAUUAUAUCUCUAUCAGCCAUUCUUUCAAACAGCAUAAAUGCAUCAGUUAGCCUAUCAUUUUUCGCAUAAACAGCAAUCAUCAUAGUGCACAAAUGCACAUCAGGAGAUGGGAUUUCAUCAAAAAUAACGCGGGCUUGGUCUAAUCUUUGAUUCUUUAGGUGAUUAGAGAGUAAAGUUCUGUAAGAGUGAGACAUUGCUUUGGUGCAAUAGUUAACAUUAUCACCCAUUAAGGAUACGGGGAGAUCUCUGAGAAUGAUGGGAAAUCUUAAACUACCAAACUGCAAAUGGGAAAAUUUGGGUGGAUAUUUGAAAUUUUGAGAAAUGGCGCGAAACUGUGACAUAGUCUCUUCAUUGGACUAACGGCCCUGAAGCGAGCGCAAAUACGAGGAAGAAGUUGAAGCAAG
rnacentral:misc_RNA from 1 species